UUUGCAGAUGAUGAUAAAAAAGACAGGGACUCUGAACCCGAUAAAUCGGACUGAUUACUUCGUCUAAUUGGGAAAUUUCUGAUGCAUU
rfam:Zostera marina strain Finnish scaffold_21, whole genome shotgun sequence.